ACCAAAUCAAUGUGAUAUUUGCAAGAAAGUACUUGCACAUCCAAGCAGUUUAAAUAGGCAUAAAAGAAUGCAUAAUGGACACAGACCACAUGAAUGUGAUAUUUGCAAGAAGAAAUUUGCUACAACAACCCACUUAAUUAGACAUAAAGGAGUUCAUUCUGGAUACAAACCUUAUGAAUGUGAUAUUUGCAAGAAGAACUUCGCUACAUCAACUCAUUUAGUUCGACAUAAUAGAUCACACACUGGCGAUAAACCUUAUCAAUGUGACGUCUGCAUGAGGAGAUUUUCAUUAUCCAGCAAUUUAAGAAGACAUAUUCAAAAGACUCAUAUUGAAAAGAGACCUUUUGAAUGCGAUGUUUGCAAAGAAGGGUUUGCACGUUUAAGGAACCUGGUAGCUCAUAAAAGGAAACAUAUUGGCAGCAAGCCUUUUCAAUGUGAUGUAUGCAAGCGAAUGUUUGCCCAAUCAAGCCACUUGACAACGCAUAAAAGAACCCAUACUGGAGACAAGCCAUAUCCAUGUAAUAUUUGCAAGAACAGAUUUUCUCGUUUGGGCAGCUUAAGACGACAUAAAAUGCUUCACAGUGGACGCAAACCCCAUAAAUGUGAUAUUUGCAACAAAACAUUUUCUCGAUUAGAACUCCUGGAAGUUCAUAAAACAAAACAUACCGGAGAUAAACCUUAUGAAUGUGAUGUUUGUAAAAAGCGCUUUUGGCAAUCGGUCAUUUUAAGAAGACAUAAAACAACGCAUUCGGGUAGCAAGCCCUAUGAAUGUGAUGUUUGCAAGAAGUCAUUUUCACGUAGGGAAUAUUUAAACUGCCACAAAAAAGCACAUUUGUUGUGCAAGUGUUGUAGAAGAGAAAUUGUCGAGGAAAAAGAUUUACAAGAUCAUUUUACCGUGGACGAAAACUCUGGAACAUGUUAUGUUUGUAAUGAAUGUGGCAAACAGUUCUCUAAUUUCAAGAAAUUGGUAAGACAUGUAGUAAGAGAGCAUGGUGAUAAUACAGAUUACCAAUGUAGUGUUUGCCAAGAAUUGAAUUCAAAUGAACCGACUGGCAUUGGUUAUGCUUGUUUCAUGUGCGACCUUGAAUUUGAUGUUGCAAGAGAGCUUGAAAAUCACAUGGUUACCCAUAAUGAGCAAAAUUAACCUUUGAAUAUUAUGCUUAUUUAAUUACCCCCCACUGAUUAUCACCAUGUGACAAAUGUAUAAAAACCUGAUCUGUUUUCGAUUGGUAGGGAUCCAAUUACCUGAAAAGUGCCAGGUGACAACUUUAGGGCCUUCGCUUGGAAUGUCAAAGUUCUCCUUGCAUUUUUCAUGUACAGAGCUGCAAAUUACUGUCGGAC
rnacentral:lncRNA from 1 species